AUGCCAGUGACCAUACAUCUCUUUGCCAAUUGGAUACUAGCAGCAUAUCAAAAUGAGCAAAGGAGGAAACAACACUGGUUUUUGAUAGAUAACAAGCAUCUGGAGCGAAGCAUGAAGCACAAGCUUCUCAAGGAUAAGCUGACACCUAAUAAGGAUGAGAACAAUGGAGAUGCUAAGAGGCAACCUUUUGGGGUUAAGGAUAUAAACAACAACAUGGCUUAUGAGGCCGAAGAGAGCUUGAGUGGCGGCUUUUGGAUCUUCAAGCCCUGCACUUUCCUGGUGAAGUGGCAGCAAAAUAGUUCAGAGGCUUUAAAGCUACUGCACUUUACAUAG
rnacentral:rRNA from 1 species